rnacentral:rRNA from 1 species
ACACUCCUGCGGGAGACAGCAGUGAGGAAUAUUGGACAAUGGGUGGAAGCCUGAUCCAGCCAUCCCGCGUGCAGGAAGACGGCCCUAUGGGUUGUAAACUGCUUUUAUCUGGGGAUAAACCUACUUACGUGUAAGUAGCUGAAGGUACCAGAAGAAUAAGCACCGGCUAACUCCGUGCCAGCAGCCGCGGUAAUACGGAGGGUGCAAGCGUUAUCCGGAUUUAUUGGGUUUAAAGGGUCCGUAGGCGGACUGAUAAGUCAGUGGUGAAAUCCGACAGCUUAACUGUCGAACUGCCAUUGAUACUGUUAGUCUUGAGUAAGGUUGAAGUGGCUGGAAUAAGUAGUGUAGCGGUGAAAUGCAUAGAUAUUACUUAGAACACCAAUUGCGAAGGCAGGUCACUAAGUCUUAACUGACGCUGAUGGACGAAAGCGUGGGGAGCGAACAGGAUUAGAAACCCUUGUAGUCCCAUG